AUUGAACGCUGGCGGCAGGCCUAACACAUGCAAGUCGAGCGGAGCGGCGGACGGGUGAGUAAUGCCUAGGAAUCUGCCUGGCAGUGGGGGAUAACGUCCGGAAACGGGCGCUAAUACAGCCUACUAUCAAAUGGACCUGGGUCGGAUUAGCUAUUUGGUGGGGUAAAGGCCUACCAAGGCGACGAUCCGUAACUGGUCUGAGAGGAUGAUCAGUCACACUGGAACUGAGACACGGUCCAGACUCCUACGGGAGGCAGCAGUGGGGAAUAUUGGACAAUGGGCGCAAGCCUGAUCCAGCCAUGCCGCGUGUGUGAAGAAGGUCUUCGGAUUGUAAAGCACUUUAAGUUGGGAGGCGUUACCAACAGAAUAAGCACCGGCUAACUUCGUGCCAGCCGCCGCGGUAAUUC
rnacentral:rRNA from 1 species